UACGUAGGGUGCAAGCGUUGUCCGGAUUUAUUGGGCUUAAAGGGUGCGUAGGCGGCCUGUUACGUCAGUGGUGAAAUCCAACAGCUCAACUGUUGAUGUGCCAAUGAUACUGACAGGCUUGAGUACAGACGAGGUAGGCGGAAUUGACAGUGUAGCGGUGGAAUGCAUAGAUAUUGUGAAGAACACCGAUAGCGAAGGCAGCUUGCUGGCCUGUAACUGACGCUGAGGCGCGAAAGUGUGGGGAGCAAACAGG
rnacentral:rRNA from 1 species